GGAGGAAAAGAACUAACAAGGAUUCCCCUAGUAACUGCGAGUGAAGCGGGAAAAGCUCAAAUUUAAAAUCUGGCGGUCUUUGGCCGUCCGAGUUGUAAUCUAGAGAAGUGAUGCCCGCGCUGGACCGUGUACAAGUCUCCUGGAAUGGAGCGUCAUAGAGGGUGAGAAUCCCGUCUCUGACACGGACUACCAGGGCUUUGUGGUAUGCUCUCAAAGAGUCGAGUUGUUUGGGAAUGCAGCUCAAAAUGGGUGGUAAAUUCCAUCUAAAGCUAAAUAUUGGCGAGAGACCGAUAGCGAACAAGUACCGUGAGGGAAAGAUGAAAAGAACUUUGGAAAGAGAGUUAAACAGUACGUGAAAUUGCUGAAAGGGAAACGCUUGAAGUCAGUCGCGUUGGCCRGGGAUCAGCCUCGCUCUUUUGCGUGGUGUACUUUCUGGUUGAUGGGUCAGCAUCAAUUUUGACCGCUGGAAAAAGGCUUGAGGAAUGUGGCAGCUCCGGCUGUGUUAUAGCUUCAUGUCACAUACRGCGGUUGGGAUUGAGGAACUCAGCACGCCGCAAGGCCGGGUUUCGACCACGUUCGUGCUUAGGAUGCUGGCAUAAUGGCUUUA
rnacentral:rRNA from 1 species